rnacentral:rRNA from 1 species
CCUACGGGUGACAGCAGUGGGGAAUAUUGGGCAAUGGGCGCAAGCCUGACCCAGCGACGCCGCGUGAAGGAAGAAGGCUUUCGGGUUGUAAACUUCUUUUCUCAGGGACGAAGAAAGUGACGGUACCUGAGGAAUAAGCCACGGCUAACUACGUGCCAGCCGCCGCGGUAAUACGUGGGUGGAAAGCGUUAUCCGGAUUUACGGGGUGUAAAGGGCGUGUCGGCGGGAAAGCAAGUCAGAUGUGAAAACCACGGGCUCAACCUGUGGCCUGCAUUUGAAACUGUGUUUCUUGAGUGCUGGAGAGGCAGACGGAAUUCCUAGUGUAGCGGUGAAAUGCGUAGAUAUUAGGAGGAACACCAGUGGCGAAGGCGGUCUGCUGGACAGCAACUGACGCUGAGGCGCGAAAGCGUGGGGAGCAAACAGGAUUAGAUACCCGAGUAGUC